rnacentral:rRNA from 1 species
AACGAACGCUGGCGGCAGGCCUAACACAUGCAAGUCGAGCGAAGCCUUCGGGCUUAGCGGCGGACGGGUGAGUAACGCGUGGGAACGUGCCCUUUGGUACGGAAUAGCCCCGGGAAACUGGGAGUAAUACCGUAUGUGCCCUUCGGGGGAAAGAUUUAUCGCCAAAGGAUCGGCCCGCGUUGGAUUAGGUAGUUGGUGGGGUAAUGGCCUACCAAGCCGACGAUCUAUAGCUGGUUUGAGAGGAUGGUCAGCCACACUGGGACUGAGACACGGCCCAGACUCCUACGGGAGGCAGCAGUGGGGAAUCUUAGACAAUGGGGGAAACCCUGAUCUAGCCAUGCCGCGUGAUCGAUGAAGGCCUUAGGGUUGUAAAGAUCUUUCAGUGGGGAAGAUAAUGACUGUACCCACAGAAGAAGCCCCGGCUAACUCCGUGCCAGCCGCCGCGGUAAGAC